rnacentral:rRNA from 1 species
CCUACGGUGGCUGCAGGGAGGAAUAGUGGUCAAUGGGCGCGAGCCUGAACCAGCCAAGUAGCGUGAAGGAUGACUGCCCUACGGGUUGUAAACUUCUUUUAUAAAGGAAGAAAGUGAGGAACGUGUGCCUUUUUGAAGGUACGUUAGGAAUAAGGAUCGGCGAACUCCGUGCCAGCAGCCGCGGUAAUACGGAGGAUCCGAGCGUUAGCCGGAUUUGUUGGGUUUAAAGGGAGCGUAGAUGGGUUGUUAAGGCAGUUGUGCAAGUUUGCGGCUCAACCGUAAAAUUGCAAUUGAUACUGGCAGUCUUGAGUACAGUUGCGGUAGGCGGCAUUCGUGUUGUAGCGGUGACAUGCUUCGAUAUCAC